AGAGCCACAGCAUUCCUAGCUGGCUCUCCCCUUGAACGCUGAGCAGAAGGCUGGGGCUCAGGGAGGCAGAGUGGAGGGGAAGGCAAGCUGGAGGAGAGGCAGGGAGAGGGAGAGCUGAGGCCGGGGUACGAGCUCCAAGGCUGGGGGGAUAAGGGGAUGGCAAGCCAGGGGAUGUUGGGUGGAGGGAGGCGGGGGAGAAAGUGAGAAGGCGGGAGGGCAGGGGAUGCAGCCCAGCUAAGGUGAGAAAAGGUAAGGCAGUGGUGACUGAGAACAGGCCGCACUGAAUGCUAGUAGAAUUAGGUGACCAGGUAGGGAAGAUGGAGUGUUAGUGAAGAAAUAAAUGACUUGUCACAGAAAUAGUGCAGGUCAUAGUGUAGGAGGACAUUUAAUCUGCAGAAGUGUGAAGCCUGUUAGGAGGCUAGGCUGGAGGAUGGAGGGAAAAAAGAGAAACAAGACGCUUGCAACAAGACCAAAAGAAAAAAAAAGGAGAGCCAGAAAAUCAGUAUUAGAGUUUUGUGAGUGUGGAGUGUCCUUUCCUUUCCCUGCCAUGGAUGUAAUGCUGGUUUGGAUUACAUCCAAUCAGAUGAGAGGACCGUGGCCCUUGUCAUAAUGACAAGCAUGACAUCAUGGCAAGGGCUAGCGGAGAGGAGACAGCGGAGAGCUCCAGACAGACGACGGGGCUGCACGCCGGGAUCUGCACGCCGACAAACGCGCACCGGCUGCCGGGUCGAAAGCGCACGGACUACCAGGUGUUGGUGGUUGGUGGCUCGGGGUCGGGGGGGAUACGAACGGAAAGUGCGGGCUGGGUGCCGACGACUGGAGCUCUGCCCCGGACAGGCUGAAGCUCCAUCAGCGGUGGGAGAGAUAGACACGAAGGAGGCUGAGCGACAUGGCAACUUGUUUAAUUUCUGCCAAUCAAGACGAGAGGAAGACAACUCCCAAACUGGCAGUUGAAGCUGGGAGGCCCGGUUGAGGUGUUCCCCUUCAUCCUUUCCUUCACCCAUCUACUCCCCCAUCCGACCGUUCAUCCAUCCAUCCAUCCAUCCACCCACCCAUCCUUCUGUUCCUCGCGUGCAGAGUCUGGCUGCCCCAGCUCGAGGAUAUUUGGCCUGCAACAGGUGUGAUGUAACGAGAGAGUGAAGACGCGAGUGAGAGAGCGGGACAAUGGGAAACGGGAUGGCAAAAUGACAAAUGCUAAGUUGUUGGUCCGCUGUUCCAGCAGAGCCACCCGUGGUGUUGGGGGUCUCACAACAUUUCCUCUGUGUGUCCUCUUGAGCUGAGAUUGCUGCUUUGAGCCAGCAAGGAAACAAAUCGAAAUUUUUCCAGAGGGGAGCAGCGGCUGCUGUAAUCUCCACUGUUCAAUUAGCUGAAGUGACCGGGACGCCACCUACACUUCAUUAGCUGGAAGGCGAAGGUGAUGCUGACGGUAUAACAUCAGGCGAGUACGAGAGAUGGAGAAGAUGCUGACGUUUCCCAAAAAAACCCACACAAACACACACGGACACACACAUACAGGCAGAGAGUAAAUGGGAGUCUUCUGUCAGGAGUGUGAGUCAUUCCCAAGUGUAGAAAACUGAAUUAAAGUGAAUCAGGCUGAACUGAAAUGACCUGAGCUGAAAAGAAGGCUUCAGCUGGACAGCCCUCUGAAGGUGCUGAGGGGAAAAAAAUUAGAUGACAAAUAAUUUGGAAAUAAUGCAGAUGGCACAGUGUGGUUUCUCGAGGUGGCCUCGCUAGAUUUCCUGUUCUGCAUUCCCCUUUUUCUUUUUUUCAUUUUCAUAUUUACAUUACAUUCGAUGACAUUUAUUAAACUGUACGUCUCCGGACUCUCAGCAUUUGUAUCCUAUCUGUUUUCGUAUUUGAGCUUGUGCCAUAUCCAUCAAAAGUGUACAUUAGAAAACUGCAACAUUUCAGUCUGUUCAUUAUUGUGGAAUUAAAUAUUAGACACAGAAUUAGAUUUUUAAAAAUAAAUCUACAGGCUUUUUUAAGCUAGCUGGUGCCAUUUUGUUUCACAUCAUUUGUCUUUCUUUUUAACCACAACCGCACAAAAUUAGUCUUGCUUAAUAUUUUGUAAUGAUGGCAAAUUAUUGUUUUCCAUCUGAGCUUCACACUUGCAUCAAUUAAAGAGUGCUAGGAUAAUCUGCUCUCUAAGCAACUCCAGAUUCAGUGACCUUUACAUUUUGAGUUUAACUGAAACAUGACAAGAAAAAAAAAUAAGUAUGUGUUCAGUGUGAUCGUGUCAGUCAUAAGUUACCUCAUCAUAAGACCCGAGCAGCUGAUUUUGACGUGGUUUACAUGUGGGUUUAAUCACAAACUCUUCUUUUUUAUUGUACCUUCUUGUUCUUGUGCUCCACUGUUUAAAAGAUAAAAUAAAAAAAAAACAUUGUGAAAGACCAA